UUACAAAGAACGUUCUUUUUCUCAGUCUGUCAAUUUGUUUCAUUUUUCUCAUUGUCUUUAGCUUUUUAAUUUCAGCAGUCUGCCUGGGAAUGCAGUGAGACUUACUGGCUUGUAUCUCUUGGGGCUUGCUACUGGCUACCUUGAGACGGACCUCUGAGAAGUUGGUGAUCUAGACUAUGAGAGCAGCAUUCUCAUGGCAAACAGCUUUUGUGCUGUCACAAAUCUCUCCAGCUUCAGUAAUUUCCAGUGUAGUUCACAUCAAACUUCUUGAAAAACUCCUGUGCAAAAUUCAAGUGUUUAGGCAAAACUUUGCCUGCAAGUUUUCUACAGAUGUCCCCUUUGUGUUACCUUGUCAGGGAAUGGAACAAACAGGUGUUGCCUGUUUUUUUUAAAUCCUUGGAAGCAAUCAUGAAGUUCAUAUGGCUAGUCGCAGUGCACUCACAAAGAUGUGCUUCCAUCUGUCAGAUGGUUGUCAAAAGAAACACCUUAAACCAGAAGUAACAUGUUUAGAUUAACUUUUACAAGGCACUUGUGUUUGACUGCAGCACCCUCUGAUACAAGACCGUACAAAGUGGAUUCAAAUCUGAAAUGUGUUUGCUCGUGAAAUAUCACACUAGAUUUCUGUGUUUCUGAUUUGAGGGUACUCUGAUUUUUCUCUUGUGUCCCUCGUGAGUUGGGUAACAGUGAUGACUCUGCUCAGCUCGGGAUGUAGUUUUGCAAAACACUGAAGCUGCACAGACUGCUGCCAGAAGGGGUGAUUAUAUCAGCCUCUUCCUCCACCCUGUGUUUGCCCCACCUUUUUCAUGUCAAAUUGGAUGAUCACAGGGCUGAGUGGUGAGCCAGGUCAGACUAUGAGUGCCCUGAUCCAUCAGACCACACAAUCUCCAGAUCAAGUUGCAGGGAGGUGGCAGGACUGGGAAGCCAGGGCUGGUGUGUAGUUUGCCCAUAGCUGUGAGUUUCCAAGUUGUACCCAGGCUAAUGGAGGUAUUCAGCUUGACAGAGUUUUUUUCUUGGCUCCCAGUAAAUAAACUUUUUUUAUGUAGGUGAAUUAAAUGUUGGGUUUGUGUGGGGAUCCUAGUGACUGGUACCUUAAAAGGAGACAUUUUCAACCUUUGCAAGAGGUGACUGAUUUGAUCCAGGCAGGCUGUAGGUGGGGUAAACACUCGUGUUUGGAGUAGUCAUGAGGCAACUCAGAAGGGGUUUUUCUGUUUGUUUUUGUCACAGAGGAGACAGAUGAGAAGUAGAAGAUAAUUCUGGAGUCAACAAUUUUUUUUUUAAGCUUUUCUUAAAAUCCGAAAAUACAUAAUUCUUCUACAUGGAGAAUUCCCUCAAGGUACUUUAAAAUACAACGCAGAGGAAGGAGCUACCUGAGUAAAACUAAAGGAGACAAAACCUAAACUAAGAAGAUAAGGGUCAGAACAGAGGCACAGUACUCCUGCAGACUGCCACUGUUGCUGGAAGAGCCAGUUUGAUCUGCUGUGAUCCAGAGGGAACAUGCUGCUGUGGAAGUGCCAGAGCUUUCAAGAGGUCUGUCACUUGAAGGGCAGCGGUUUGGAGGUCAGACUGUUGUGGGGAGCAUGGGCCAUAAUAAAGCACCUUUAUUUUCGUCUUACCUCCAGAAAGAGGAAAUCUGGGGUCUCUUGCAAAUGCAACACAUGGCUUCAGUGAUACAGAGUUCCCUUUGUAUACUAGACAAGUAUAAAACGUUUUACUCCUGC